UCCUCAAAGAAAUAUCCCCCAUUGCAACCAGAAAGCUACUGAGCUCAGUAUCCCUAAUGUUCAACAAACUCGCCACAUUCGCAAGAACUUGCGCCGAUGAAACCACAUUGGAGGGUAAAUUCUCCUGCGCCAUCCCCACGCUCUCCAAAAUCUCUCUGAUCCUCGCCGCUUGGGCGCGGUACUCGGCGGCCUUGAGGCGGAAGUCUUUGGCCAGAAUCUCGG
rnacentral:misc_RNA from 1 species